GGGGGGGGCGGUUGGGUUCCCUGUGCUUGCCAAAGAAGUCUGCUCCCCACCCAAACACAUCAAGCUCAAGACUGAUUCGUGUUGCAAAUAUUUGAAGGCAACAUUUGAAAGCAGACAAUACAGCAAAUAGGAAGACAUUCAGUCUGUAUAUCUUUGCAAACAGAGAGGUCGGUAGCCAUGGAAGGGCAUCCUGAGGCUGUCAGUCCAAUGGCUGGAGGGACAAAAGGCCUGUGAAUUUGAAAUCAACUGGAUGCCCCAUGACAGGAACCCUGAAACCUAAAGCCGUGAAUUAAAUAAGAAUCACAAAUAUUUCAAUUCUCAGCAGAAAAAGAAUCUUGCUGUUGAAGAGACUAUUGAUUCUUUCCAAGCCCUUUUGCUGAAGAGAAUACUGUAGCCCUGGCUAUUUCCCUAAGGGAUAUUUUGUACAAAAUCAAGCCAAGGCAGAGUGUCUGGAGGAGGGGUGGAAGAAUUCUAAUGACAAUUUUUUUUUUUUUUUUGGCCUCCUUUUGCCCUGCAGCAGUUUGGAAAUGCCCAAAGGAUUGUCUUGUAAUGUUCCAAAGACAUUGCAUUCUUGGGAGCUAAUGCACAGACACCCCCCUGAGAUGAAAAUUUUAUUUCUUUCGUAUUGAAAGUGUUGCAACUCAGGCUUUUCAAGCAUUUUCCCCUGUGCCCUGCUCUUUGAGUGUCUACAGCUGAAGAAGAUUUGCUGCUGCUGUGGUGGUGAAAGUGAAUUGACUGGAAGCUUCUGCCAGGGGCCCAUCAGUUUAAUGUAGAAAGAUUCCUGUGGCAACAAAGAAGAGUGAGUCAAAGGAAAUUCAGUGCAGCAAGAAGCAGGGCAGGGGGGAAAGUGUCUCUCCAGUGUGCUGGACGGAACACAGAGUCCUCCCCAAAAGGAAAGGUGCAGAAACAGCUACCUCACCUGCUGUUGCAGAAGAAGUCGGUGGUACUCAUGCUGUGACUGGUCCAUGAGCUACAUCCAGCAGUUGUCUCAUAUCCAUUUCAACACAGUUUUCUGGAUGCCAGAGAAGACAUCACCAGAACUAUGAAAGCCUCCUCUUGCACGUGACACCAUCCAGUGCUGAUGGCAGAGAAGGAAUCAGGGCUCGCCAAGAGGAGCUGCUGUCAAGUCUGCUAGCAUUUGAAGACCCAGAUCUCAGGAAGAUUAACGUUCCCCAGUUCACAGGAGAUGUCACUGACUCAUUUUGCCAUAGUGCUGUUGCACAAGCUGCACUCGUACCACUGAAUGUUACUGCUGAUCCAUGGAGGGCAUUGCCAUGCCUUCUGGCUUAGACAUGGCCAAGGUAUUUCUGAGGCACCAGUCGCCCUGGUCUGUGUAUGCAUGUAGCUGUUGGUGAACUUCUUGUAAUGAAGAAACCAUCUAAUUGUGCCGAGAUUGCAGUACUGGGAUAUAUUGUGGUGUUUGGGAUUCAGCUAGAGCCGGUAGAAGUGGCAAUGUCAUCUGGAUCCCUCUCUCUGGCCUGGUCUGGUCAGGACAUCUCUCUGGAUCAUGAUGAUAAAGGCCUGGGGUCCCAGGAGACUGUGGGUAUAAGAGCUAUGAUGGUGAUGUGCAUUCCAGUAGCCAUUUUUUCUCCCAAAACUCUUUCUUUAAGGACCCACAAAGGGAAUAAUCCCCUCAUUAUUUUGUCUGCCAGUUAGGUCUAAUAUCUGAGCAGGGGUGCUGGAACAGGAGGUGGGGGCAGGGGGCUAUGGCCCCAUCACUUUUUACUGGCUGUAAGGGCAAGUGAUGGGUGGAGAGGAGUGAGAUGGGGGCGGGACCUUGGGGGGAAGGUCUGGUGUGAGGGUGGGGUCUCGGGGGAAGUGGCAGUAUCAGGAGGGACCAUAGUUCAUGAACCGGUGCCCCCGCACACACUUUUAGGGAGCUUCCAGCGCUCCUGUAUCUGACACACCAAUUUGGUUCAUUAAUUUCCAAUCUUGUGGUUUUUUGUUUACCAAGCAUGACCUUAACACAGUCCUUGAGUUAUAUCAAUAGGCCUUUUUGUUUGGACUAAUUUAGCCUGUCUCCUCUUCGUACUUUUUCCUGACAACAUUUAUUAUUAUAGCUAAUUGUGACGUCUCAUGAACUUUCAUGUACUCUUUACAGUUGACCUCACAAUUAGGUUAAAUUUGUAGGCCCAGUUAUGAAACCACCUCCCUUCCCUUAGAGCAGGAACUAUCCCACUUCGACCACUGGAAAUGUUGGGAGGUAUGUGUUUGUACAUAGGGUGAUUGGAGUUUUGAAACAGGAAUAUAUUCCUUAAUGGCAUGGGGAAGAAGUGUGAGGAGACUUGGUAGCUAGGAUAUCAGGUUGAGGGUUGUAAGAUGUGGUGGUUUGAGGUGUGGUGUAUUAAAAACUGCAUUACCAUUACAAGCUAUUAUUUCAACCUGUAAGUUCUUGCAGGAUAGGGGGCUCUGUAGAGAAGCAUGUGAUCUGGGUCUUCAGCAGUCACUUUGAAAAGAGCCAGUCUAGAGCAAGCUGGGGUGAGUUGUGUCUCUUUGCCUUUGGGAGCAGCCUGCUUUGUCUCUCUGUUUUUGGUACUUGUUGUGUUAGGGUUCUGGCUUCUAAGAAAUAAAAUAGUGUUACAUUGCAACCUUCUAGCAAGACUAUUUGAUGGGCUUUUUAUCUAACUUUGCUGCACGUAUUCUGUGAACAUAACAUGAAGAAACUUGUCCUGGAGAUUGUGUGAGAGGUUUGGCAGAAUUUUUUGGGUGGAAUGGCUGCCUGCCUUUGUGGCCAGGUGAGCUGGCAGGAAAGCUGGCAGGCUGGUUCCGAACCUGCAUAUCAGGCUGCCUUCCACCGGAAUCCUGCCUGGUUACCAUUGGAAUUUGGUCAAAAUUGUCAUGUUCCAUUGGAAUAUUCAGAUGUCUACAAAUCAGCAUUUUCCAACAAAAGUUCUAUCAAAAAACUUCUGACUCACUCAAGUCAUUAUCCUCACAAUGCUCCUGUGAGGUAGGGAAAUACUAUUAUCCCCAAUUUACAUCUGAGGAGUUGAGGGAAAGUGACCAAAGGCCAGAUUUUUAAAGGUGUUUAGGUGCCUGACUCCCACUGAAGUCACUUCACCUCUUUGUGCCUUGAUUUCCCCAUCUAUACAAUGGGGACAAUGAUGCUUACCUCCUUUGUAAAGCCCUUUGUGUUCUAAUGAAGAAAAGAGCUCUGUAAUAUUAUUAUUUAUCAUUACUCACAGAAGUAAUCAUCUUGGCCUAAAUGGGGUACUUGUACAAGUGAGGCUUACUAACCUAAUGAAGGGUUGCAAGCUUAGGCCUUAAUUCCCAUAUUAUGAGAACAAGGGAUACUCGUUAAAAUUAACACCUAGUAAAUGUAAAAACCAGUUAAGGGAAAUAUUUUUCUAGGUAGCAAAUAGUCAAUCUGUGAAACACAUUGCUGGAGGAAGAUGUCAAGAAAAAUGCAGCAACAGGAUUUGGAAGAAUGUUAGAUAAUGUUAUGGUAGUGGUAACUGUGACAACCCUUACUCACAUGGAUAAGGCUUACUCCCAUGAAUAGUACCACAGAUAUUGAUUACUUACUCAUGUAAAUUAAAGGUUGUAGCAUCAGGUUCAAAGAAAAUAUGAGUCAUCACCUCUAUUAUUAACCUGCAAGAAACAUUCCUUUAGGUCCAGGGGCAUUAUGAGGAAUUUUUGCCUGCACCUGCAACAUUUGACACUGACUGCUAUCAGAAUCAAGGAAACAGACUUGAUUGAUGAUAACUGUGCAUCUUACUUUUCUAUAUAUUUUUCUGCUAUAUUUCCAAAAGGGCUGAUUCCUUCCAGACUAAUCAGUAUUUUUCAAGAGUUGCCUGGGACUCAUUUUGGAAUUGGGAUCUUCUGGCUUUGCCCCAUCUCUGGGGCCAAAUUUUCCCCUCUGUUACAAGCAUCUUUUAACUUCAGUGGGGUUGCCAAGAAAUAAUUCAGCCUAUGCAUUUUAUGUUGUAAUUUAUAUCUAUACAACCCCAUUUGACUUCAAAGGAGUUGCCGAGUUAUAAGAGAAUUUGGUGCAUAACUGAUUUCUGUCAUCUUUCACCUUUUCCUUCCUUUCUUUGUGGAGUUCACUGUCCAAGGAACUGGGCCAGUAAAUUCAGUAAGAAUACAGUAGUCCAAUAAAGUUUGUGCUGUUGCAUUGCAGAGAACCAGUGUUAGGGGAUCCCACAGCCUGGAGCACCCCAGAUGCUGGGCCCAGCUUCUGCUGAGUCCACCCCCUGGUGAAUAUUGUAUUAUAGAAAGAAAAGUGUGUUAAGUGCUUAAGUAAACAAAACUUAUACACAGAACAGAUGUUUGUAAAACAGCUGCCAAAAAGAAAAGCAGUCUCCUUGGAUUGCAUUUUGCAGCUACCUUAGGAGAAGAUUAACCACAGGAAACUGCUAAUUAUUCAAUGGCUUUUCCAGAGAGAUGUUGGAUUUCAGCUAAGGUGCCACAAGGACUCCUCGUUGUUUUUGCUGAUACAGACUAACACGGCUACUACUCCGAAAAGUAUUUUUUGGCCACCAGAGGGCUCCAGUAUUGUUUCCCAAGCAUGACAUAUUGACAGUGAGAAAUAUGAAUAAAUAAUAGAAUUGGAAUAUAAGGGAUAUACAAUUAAACAAAAGCCUGGUUCUUACCGAAGUAUAUUUGCAUGCAAAAUUAGACUUGAUAUGAUGUAUAUUUUGCUCUGUUGCCAAAAGUAAAGAGGAGUGGGAAUCAAGAAUUUGGAUCCUACAUUGCUCUGUAAAAGGGCAUCUAUUAAAAUUAUCUUUAUAUGUGAUCUUUUGUCGUAUGUCAGGGUGGGUUAUGUAUUUGUCUUUAGGUACUUACCUUCUUUCCAUAUGAGCAUUGGACCUGUGGGUGGUUUUUAUUCUUCAGUUCCAGUGACAUUUUGUUGUUUUAUCUGUUAUUUGUAUGUAUUUGCCAUUCUCCAUUAUCUGAUCCCUUAAAUAAAUUACUGCAGCUAUUUUAUUAAACUAUUUUUAGCAACCU